ensembl:lncRNA
CUUGAAUUCCUCAGCAUGUAAUGUCCUCAGUCUGUGGUAUUAAACUGACGAAUGGAGGGAGGCAGCGAUGGGCAGACAAUAGGGGCAUGAUAACGGAGAGAGCAGCUCUACAUCCCUUAACCCCUGCUGGACCGAGAAGCUUCUGUAAAGCAGUUAGAGAUUGGUACAAAGAGGUUCUAGCUCUGUAAGAACAUCUCCUCCGUGCUCUUGACACGGAGCAGUAAGAAUGAUAGAUGCAGGAGCCCGAGCAAAGGCGAGGUGUGCAGAGCUUCAAAAGGAGAUGGUCAGCCCUGUCCAGACCCCUGUAUGCUGUGUAUCUGGAGAACAGAGGAGAUGCUGGAGAAUUUGUGAAAAGCUGCAGCUAGAGUUUAUUCCAGAGAUCUGUGUCUGGAUUCCAGCAGCAGCUAUUGUGUUCAUGGAGAGGCUUUAAGAAGUCUGCUACCCACUGAUACUCCAAUGAAUAGGGCAAAUGAAGAGGGAUUUAAGACUGGCUCAGUUCUUUGCAUAUCUUGCUUUGGACGCAGUUAAGAACCUGAAAUCUCCUGUGUUUAGCUAAGGGCACUUAGGAACCAUGCCCUCAGCUCAUCACUGACUGAGGGUCUACUUUAAGGACUCUGAUAAAAACUACGCUUGAAUAAUGACCAUCCAGCUGCUGUUCUGCAAAAGCUCAUGGUCUUGUUGGAAAGAUGGACACACCCAGCAUGGAAACAGCGCAGUCUCAUAUGGGCUGAAUUGUAUACUCUUAAAAUUUAUAUGCAUAAUUCUUAAUUCCCAGUACCUCAGAAUGUGACUGUAUUUGGAGGCACUCUCAUAGCCCAAAUGGACCAAGACACCUGCUGUUCCUUACUUGUUUGUCUGCUGCUCUGAAAGGACAAUCAAUGCGAAGACAAAUGUGUUUACCUUGAGGAGGCUAGAAACAUACAAAAUGCCUGCUGAGCUCAAAUGUGUGGACUUGCUUCCUCCCCAUAAGGAAGCAGGACCCUCUGGUCUGAACUAUAAACUGAGCUCAAUUGUUGCAGGGGAAACUGCAGUGAAGGCGAAACACAUGUCUGAGUCACAGAAGCACACAGAUUAAGAAGUUUGAUAAAUCAGGUGACUGUGAACAACACAGACUUUAAGCCCUCAAUUCCACUUUUAGACUGUGACGGCGGAGGUAUGGACUCACCCAACCUGACGUUGUAAGAGAAGGAUAAUAAAACCCACAUCUGCACCAUGACUUCCUGGACAUGUGAGCAGAGUGAAGCCACUGGUUGUGUCCAUUUCUCAAGAAAGUUACAGCAUUGGACAGAGAGGAAGACCGGGUGUAUCCAGCUAACCCUCUGGCAGUUUUUAAUGCAUAUGACUGAGACAGAGCAAGAGACAUGGAGAAGAAUUUCCCUGGGCCUUGAACAUGCACAGGAGCAGAAGUUCAGGAUCAGUGAUGCCAGGUCGGAGAUAAGAAGUAGAUGCCAAGAAAUAGAGCUGAAGAAACCAAGGCAUAGAAAGUUUGAAUCUUGGACCCACGAUCACAUAGGAAAUCAGAGGAAACAACAGAAAGCUUGGACGUGCUCUGCCUCUAUCCCUCUCUGUCAGCAGCUCUUGCCAGAGCCCAGUGAUGCUGGUAUGCUAAUCCCAGACUCCACAACUAAACCCAUCAGAUUCAAGUUCUCUGGAUGGUGCUCGCCCAACACCUAUGGACAGGCACAAUAUUUCAAUGGUUUCAAGAAGGUAUCCUGGGAGAAGUGAACUGAAAUAUGGAGGAUGCCUUGGAAGAGGAAGGAGCUAGAAGAGAGCAUGGUGAAGUCUGUGGCCAGAGUGCUGUGGAUGGAGAAGGGAUGGAAGGAGGGAAUUCAGAAUUUCAGCGUCCCAGGAAAGCUUCGGUGUGCUAAAAGAGAAUGGAAGCAUUGAGAGC